AGGUGAUUAGCUUAGUUGGUAGAGCAUUCCGUUUACACCGGAAAAGGAACGGUUCGAGUCCGUUAUCACCUA
rnacentral:tRNA from 1 species